UCCACCCCACCCCAGCCUCACUCCCAGGCGACCCAGCAGGGGUGAAGACAAACUGGAGCUCAAAACACUGCAAAAUAUGUGACGUAUAGCAGACUGUUGUCACACACACGCCUUCUGCCGUGCGUGAAAAGGCUGGGGCCGAUGAGCAGAGCUUCCUCUCCUACGAGCGCCGUGCACAGCACCGCAGCUCACAAACCUCACCCACUCUCGGUCUCAGGCGCCCUGCAUGCCUAGUAGGAUGUGAAGAUCCAGGCUCAGAGCAACAAAGUGGGCAGCCAGGCCUGAGCCUGGUCCCUGUGCAGGAAGCCCCCCGCUCUCUUCACAAGGCUAAAGUGUCCCCAUCCUGCCCUUUCUUCCAGAGCAAGCCCAGGAUCACAGCACUGACUCUCCUUGCUGCUGACAGCCAGCUGAGCCAGGAAACUCAAGACGUUUCCAAGUGGUCUGCUUUCUCUGCCUCCCC
rnacentral:lncRNA from 1 species